ACGUUCAACCUCAAAAGAAGCAGAGGGGGCUUAGUGGUGGGGUGACUGCGUACCUUUUGUAUAAUGGGUCAGCGACUUAUAUUCUGUAGCAAGGUUAACCGUAUAGGGGAGCCGGAGGGAAACCGAGUCUUAAUUGGGCGUUAAGUUGCAGGGUAUAGACCCGAAACCCGGUGAUCUAGCCAUGGGCAGGUUGAAGGUUGGGUAACACUAACUGGAGGACCGAACCGACUAAUGUUGAAAAAUUAGCGGAUGACCUGUGGCUGGGGGUGAAAGGCCAAUCAAACCGGGAGAUAGCUGGUUCUCCCCGAAAGCUAUUUAGGUAGCGCCUCGUGAAUUCAUCUCCGGGGGUAGAGCACUGUUUCGGCUAGGGGGCCAUCCCGGCUUACCAACCCGAUGCAAACUGCGAAUACCGGAGAAUGUUAUCACGGGAGACACACGGCGGGUGCUAACGUCCGUCGUGAAGAGGGAAACAACCCAGACCGCCAGCUAAGGUCCCAAAGUCAUGGUUAAGUGGGAAACGAUGUGGGAAGGCCCAGACAGCCAGGAUGUUGGCUUAGAAGCAGCCAUCAUUUAAAGAAAGCGUAAUAGCUCACUGGUCGAGUCGGCCUGCGCGGAAGAUGUAACGGGGCUAAACCAU
rnacentral:rRNA from 1 species